AUACGGAGGGUGCAAGCGUUGUUCGGAAUUACUGGGCGUAAAGAGCAUGUAGGCGGAUAGAUUAGUCAGAGGUGAAAGCCCCGAGCUCAACUCGGGAACUGCCUUUGAUACUGUUUAUCUAGAGACCGAGAGAGGUGAGUGGAAUUCUCAGUGUAGAGGUGAAAUUCGUAGAUAUUGGGAUGAACACCAGUGGCGAAGGCGGCUCACUGGCUCGGAACUGACGCUGAGAUGCGAAAGCGUGGGGAGCGAACAGGAUUAGAAACCCGAGUAGUCC
rnacentral:rRNA from 1 species